UACGUAGGGUGCGAGCGUUGUCCGGAAUUAUUGGGCGUAAAGGGCUCGUAGGCGGUUUGUCGCGUCGGGAGUGGAAACGCCGUGCUUAACACGGCGCUUGCUUUCGAUACGGGCAGACUAGAGGUAUGCAGGGGAGAACGGAAUUCCUGGUGUAGCGGUGAAAUGCGCAGAUAUCAGGAGGAACACCGGUGGCGAAGGCGGGUCUCUGGGCCGAUAUUGACGCUGAGGAGCGAAAGCGUGGGGAGCGAACAGG
rnacentral:rRNA from 1 species